rnacentral:rRNA from 1 species
GACGAACGCUGACGGCGUGCUUAACACAUGCAAGUCGAAGGGAGUGGCGAACGGGUGAGUAACACGUGAGUAACCUGCCCUUUUCUUUGGGAUAAGCCUGGGAAACUGGGUCUAAUACUGGAUGGAUUGGGAUGGGCUCGCGGCUUAUCAGCUUGUUGGUGGGGUGAUGGCUUACCAAGGCUUUGACGGGUAGCCGGCCUGAGAGGGGGGAUGGUGACACUGGGACUGAGAUACCGCCCAGGCUACGAAGGGGGGGAGAAGUGGGGGAUAUUGCACAAUGCACGAAAGUCCGAUGCAGCGACGUCGUGUGGGGGAUGAAGGCCUUCGGGUUGUAAACACCUUUCGCCCGCGGAAUGGUAGUGGGUAAAGAAGCGCCGGCUAACUACGUGCCAGCAGCCGCGGUAAUUC